ACAAUGAGCGAGUGGCGAACUGGUGAGUAACACGUGGGGAAUCUGCCCAGAAGCAGGGGAUAACACUUGGAAACAGGUGCUAAUACCGUAUAACAACAAAAUCCGCAUGGAUUUUGUUUGAAAGGUGGCUUCGGCUAUCACUUCUGGAUGAUCCCGCGGCGUAUUAGUUAGUUGGUGAGGUAAAGGCCCACCAAGACGAUGAUACGUAGCCGACCUGAGAGGGUAAUCGGCCACAUUGGGACUGAGACACGGCCCAAACUCCUACGGGAGGCAGCAGUAGGGAAUCUUCCACAAUGGACGAAAGUCUGAUGGAGCAAUGCCGCGUGAGUGAAGAAGGGUUUCGGCUCGUAAAACUCUGUUGUUAAAGAAGAACACCUUUGAGAGUAACUGUUCAAGGGUUGACGGUAUUUAACCAGAAAGCCACGGCUAACUACGUGCCAGCAGCCGCGGUAAUACGUAGGUGGCAAGCGUUGUCCGGAUUUAUUGGGCGUAAAGCGAGCGCAGGCGGUUUUUUAAGUCUGAUGUGAAAGCCUUCGGCUUAACCGGAGAAGUGCAUCGGAAACUGGGAGACUUGAGUGCAGAAGAGGACAGUGGAACUCCAUGUGUAGCGGUGGAAUGCGUAGAUAUAUGGAAGAACACCAGUGGCGAAGGCGGCUGUCUAGUCUGUAACUGACGCUGAGGCUCGAAAGCAUGGGUAGCGAACAGGAUUAGAUACCCUGGUAGUCCAUGCCGUAAACGAUGAGUGCUAAGUGUUGGAGGGUUUCCGCCCUUCAGUGCUGCAGCUAACGCAUUAAGCACUCCGCCUGGGGAGUACGACCGCAAGGUUGAAACUCAAAGGAAUUGACGGGGGCCCGCACAAGCGGUGGAGCAUGUGGUUUAAUUCGAAGCUACGCGAAGAACCUUACCAGGUCUUGACAUCUUCUGCCAAUCUUAGAGAUAAGACGUUCCCUUCGGGGACAGAAUGACAGGUGGUGCAUGGUUGUCGUCAGCUCGUGUCGUGAGAUGUUGGGUUAAGUCCCGCAACGAGCGCAACCCUUAUUAUCAGUUGCCAGCAUUCAGUUGGGCACUCUGGUGAGACUGCCGGUGACAACCGGAGGAAGGUGGGGAUGACGUCAAAUCAUCAUGCCCCUUAUGACCGGGGCUACCGUGCUA
rnacentral:rRNA from 1 species